rnacentral:rRNA from 1 species
UAGGGAAUCUUCCACAAUGGACGAAAGUCUGAUGGAGCAACGCCGCGUGAGUGAAGAAGGGUUUCGGCUCGUAAAACUCUGUUGUUAAAGAAGAACAUAUCUGAGAGUAACUGUUCAGGUAUUGACGGUAUUUAACCAGAAAGCCACGGCUAACUACGGGCCAG